rnacentral:lncRNA from 1 species
AUGGGGUAUUGUGUCAUCAUGGGGUAUUGUGUCGUCAUGGGGUAUUGUGUCAUCAUGGGGUAUUGUGUCAUCAUGGGGUAUUGUGUCGUCAUGGGGUAUUGUGUCGUCAUGGGGUAUUGUGUCAUCAUGGGGUAUUGUGUCGUUAUGGGGUAUUGUGUCAUCAUGGGGUAUUGUGUCGUCAUGGGGUAUUGUGUCGUCAUUACGGGGUAUUGUGCCGUUACGGGGUAUUGUGUCAUUACGGGGUAUUGUGUCGUUACGGGGUAUUGUGUCGUUACGGGGUAUUGUGUCGUUACGGGGUAUUGUGUCGUUACGGGGUAUUGUGUCAUCAUGGGGUAUUGUGUCGUCAUGGAGUAUUGUGUCGUUAUGGGGUAUUGUGUCAUCAUGGGGUAUUGUGUCGUCAUGGGGUAUUGUGUCAUCAUGGGGUAUUGUGUCGUCAUGGGGUAUUGUGUCGUCAUGGGGUAUUGUGUCAUCAUGGGGUAUUGUGUCGUCAUGGGGUAUUGUGUCGUUAUGGGGUAUUGUGUCAUCAUGGGGUAUUGUGUCGUCAUGGGGUAUUGUGUCAUCAUGGAGUAUUGUGUCGUCAUGGGGUAUUGUGUCGUCAUGGGGUAUUGUGUCAUCAUGGGGUAUUGUGUCGUCAUGGGGUAUUGUGUCAUUACGGGGUAUUGUGUCGUUACGGGGUAUUGUGUCGUUACGGGGUAUUGUGUCGUUACGGGGUAUUGUGUCGUUACGGGGUAUUGUUUCGUUAUGGGGUAUUGUGUCAUUAUGGGUUGUUAUGUCAUUAUGGGGUAUUGUGUCGUCAUUACAGGGUAUUGUGCCGUUACGGGGUAUUGUGUCAUUACGGGGUAUUGUGUCAUUACGGGGUAUUGUGUCGUUAUGGGGUAUUGUGUCGUUACGGGGUAUUGUGACGUUACGGGGUAUUGUGUCGUUACGGGGUAUUGUGUCGUUAUGGGGUAUUGUGUCAUUACGGGGUAUUGUGUCGUUAUGGGGUAUUGUGUCGUUAUGGGGUAUUGUGUCGUUACGGGGUAUUGUGUCGUUAUGGGGUAUUGUGUCAUUACGGGGUAUUGUGUCGUUAUGGGGUAUUGUGUCGUUACGGGGUAUUGUGUCGUUACGGGGUAUUGUGUCGUUAUGGGGUAUUGUGUCAUUACGGGGUAUUGUGUCGUUACGGGGUAUUGUGUCAUUACGGGGUAUUGUGUCGUUAUGGGGUAUUGUGUCGUUAUGGGGUAUUGUGUCAUUACGGGGUAUUGUGUCAUUACGGGGUAUUGUGAUGUCAUUAUGGGGUAUUGUGAUGUCAUUAUGGGGUAUUGUGAUGUCGUUAUGGGGUAUUGUGAUGUCAUUAUGGGGUAUUGUGAUGUCAUUAUGGGGUAUUGUGAUGUCAUUAUGGGGUAUUGUGUCGUUAUGGGGUAUUGUUUGUAG